GACGAACGCUGGCGGCGUGGAUUAGGCAUGCAAGUCGAACGGUAUCAUCCUUUCGGGGGUGAGAGAGUGGCGAACUGGUGAGUAACACGUAGGUUAUCUACCCUCAAGACGGGGACAACCCAGGGAAACUUGGGCUAAUACCGGAUGUGAGCAACUUUUAGCUGUUUGAAAGGUGGCGUAAGCUGUCGCUUGGGGAUGAGCCUGCGUCCUAUUAGUUAGUUGGUGAGGUAACGGCUCACCUAGGCAAUGAUAGGUAGGCGGCCUUAACGGGUGGUCGCCCACACUGGGAUUGAGAUACGGCCCAGACUCCUACGGGAGGCAGCAGUCGAGAAUAGUCUACAAUGGUCGGAAGACUGAUAGUGCGACGCCGCGUGAACGAUGAAUCCCUUCGGGGUGUAAAGUUCUUUUAUAUGUGAGCAGUGCUUCUUAUAUUAACAGUAUGGGGAGAGAGAUAUUAGCAUAUGAAUAAGCAACGGCUAACUCCGUGCCAGCAGCCGCGGUAAACUCG
rnacentral:rRNA from 1 species